CAGGUCUCCUCACAAAUGAACCUCAGUGCCUGAGACUUUCCUGCCAAGCCACACGGCUGGGACAGGUGCAGACCCAGGUAGUCCAACACUGCUGACCAGGCCUGCAUGGGAUGAGCUGGGUGGCCCAGGCAGAGCUGGAAGCUCUGGUCCCCUUCACCCCCCACACCAUUCCUUCCUGUUGUCCUGCCCGGGCCCUGGCCUCUGGCACGGUGAUGUGGCCCCGGUACAGGCCAGGCCACAGUACAGCAGCUGUGGGGCUGCUGCGGGGACGUUGGAAAGUAGGUACCAUGCUGAGGUAUGGGUCCAGGCUAUUUCAGGACAAAGGUUGUGGUCAGACUUUGCAUGUGCUUUGGGGUCCCUGUGUUUCCUCUGUGGUUGGGCUCCGGUCUGGCCUUUCCCCGGGAGACGUGGACAUCCUGAUGCCUCUUUGCCUUAACAAGAGCCGUAUCUCUGAGCUGCACUGCACCCACCCAUGGGAGAGGCUGACCCAGACACAGGCUGCUUGGGGACUUCAUGUCUCUGUCCUAGGGCAGGAGGCAAGCCUGUGUGACCCUCCCUCACCCUUGGCCUGUGAACAGUGAGCACCUGGGCAUGUGUUCACCUGUGGCAAGGGCUGUGCCUGGCACUCCAGGUCCACCUGGCAUGGGACACCAAGUGGCCAGUGGGGUUGGGUCUGGCUACAGUGGAUCUGUUCUGGGGGGCAGGAGGUGCAGAGCCCCCUGUUUCCCCAGUUCAUCUGUGGCCACCUGCCAGCAAGCUGGGAGGACCAUCUGGCCCAAGUCAUCUGCUCCUUUGAUCAGAUGUGAGUCUGCAGGGGAGCAGGAGGGUGCUGACCUCAGACCUCGCGGCCCCCACCGUUCCUCCUGUACUUGCUCUGGUCUUUAUAUACCGAGCUAAUUUCCUUUUCUCUUUGACCAGUGUCCUGCUCACCCUGAAGUUCUGGCAUCUGCGUAGUUCGUUUCCUUUUAUCUUUUAGCUAAAGAAAAAGUGUUGUGAUUUCUCUGCUUCUGGUUUUGAGUCACUCUUUGUUCAGUAAUGCACUUUAUUUUGUCCAAAGAGAGUCGGGCGUCAACAUAAGGAGUGGGGGUACCUGCCAACAGGCUCGGGCCCAGGCAGCUUAGCCAUCUCCUCUUGCAUAGGGGAGGGGCCCCCAGCUCCACUUUCAUCCUACCUGCCCUUGUGUGGACACACCCUCUCAUGCCACCAGGCACCAGGCACCAUAGCUCAGCGAGGAGGGACCAGGUGCCCGGCCUCCACCAACCAGCCUGCUCCUGGUGCUCCCACUUGGGGCUUGCAGGUGUGUGUCGGUUGGGUUUGUAGUAGCGUUGCCUGGACUCCAGCCCUGCAGUUGAACCAAUAAAAGCACCUGAAGCGAC
rnacentral:lncRNA from 1 species